GGGCCUCUCUCCCCGGCACCCCGCCGCCAGCGCGCCCUGGGCUCCCCCUCCCCGGACCGUCCUCCAGGGGCCACCUCGAGCCCGCGCGGUCACAGAAGGGAGAGAAGACCCGGGAGUGAAGGGCUCCCCCCACCCCCAACACGGAAAUCGGGCCGGGAAAGAGCCGAUCCCUGGAGUGCCCACCCGAGCAGGUCGGGCCGGAGACGCGGCGGGCGGCUGAAGGGAAGGCUGGUGCCCCCCCCACCCCCCCGCCGACUCGUGCUGCACCUGGGAGCGAGUCUGGAGCGCCCCGGCUCUGAAGUCUAGGGGCUGCGGUCCUGCUGAGCCGAUGGGGGCCGGCGGGCCCACCCCGAACCGCCCUGCGUAGGUUUCGGGACCGCAGGUCAGGGAGUCCGCACAACCCCGCCGCCCCGCGAGUUCAAGCCCAGAUAGUCUCAGGACUGUGUGUGGGACACGAGAGUGAACUUUUUCGGGGUGAUUCUGACCUCUGCCCCCCAACUCAGCCACGGACACGGGGCUUUUUACCCUCCCUCCUGCCUCUCCGUCUGGAAACACAGGUGCCAUUCGGUUCUGGCGACCUCAAACCGUUUGUGAUGGAGUUUGGUUAAAGUGGACACAUGGCUGGAUCACACACACGUCUACACAGCCUCUCCAUCCGGAGUCUGGGAGGAAAAGCGCUUUGUUGGCCGAGAGUGCGCAGGGGCCUGGGCUCUCCUCUGGCUUCCCUCCUCUGGUCCACCGCUGGGUUGGAGAACCCCUUCUUCUGUUGGGAGGGAGGUGUGGACGCGCACGACUUGUGUAUGGACAAGUGCAAAGCUGGAGGAGUGAGAAAACUUUAAUCCUACGGAGGCCGGAGCUCGCAGGUCUGCUCUUCCGCCAAGGGAUGAGCCGGGAUUCCCUGCAGAAGGAGCUGAGCCCUCUCCGGCCGGAGACCACUCCGCUGGCGGAAGCUUGGUUCCCUAAUUCCUUUUACCAGGUGCAGCCCUGACUCUCCGAGCUCCACCCUCCCCUGCCCCAGUGUUUGCCCGCAGCCCCAACCGCAGGGAGCUGAUUUACUAGGGAUUCCGAUGGAUGCUCUCUUUUGGCUGGCACCCCAACUUUUCACUCAAGCACCACGAGACUGGAGGGUGAAGGUGACCAGGACUCAGAGCUGGAGGCUUCUGUACAGAACCUGCAUGACAACCCUUCAAGGGCUCGGGGCUGUAACUGCAGUCUUGCAGGAUCCCCGGCAGCAGUGGUAGGAGUGUGAAGUUCCUCUCUUGGAGUCUGGCUCAUACCCCAUACGCAUCUAUCCGUCUGGAUUGUAGAAGACAGCCUUGCUCACUUUAGCCCCUGGGGCUAUAAAAAAAUUAAGUCUGCAUUAAGGAAAAUAGAAAGUGACCUAGUGAUGAUGUAUUUGGAAGCUAUGGAGUCCUGACUAUGUUCUGGACACUCUUAGAAAAGCAUGAAGGAGGCUGCCCGUGAGUGGGUGAGGGCAGGCUUGUGGAAACACGCUGAAGGAAGAUUCAGCAGGGCCUGUCUGUGCAGGCAGAGCAGGCUCCCCAGGAAGGUCGGGAGGGCUGGCUGGACGCCUGGACCCACUGUACUCCUGACAAGCCUGACAAGAUGUGAGAUGCUCCGUCCAGGCCGCAAGGCUCACACAACUUCCAGCCUGUAGGGCAGAGAAGCUGCUGAUGCACCCAGCCUGGGGCAGAGACCCAGACCUUGCAGUCAGCUAGGCUGAGCUGUGGCCCAGGGACCGGGAAGGUGUGGCUUCCUGGCUGUCCCGGCCCGCCUGGCCCGCCCGUCCAUCCAGAGGUAGCUUCUAGCGCCCAGCUGGCGGUGAAUCCCACCAGCAUUUGCUGAUAAAUAUGAUUUAGGCUACAGCUGUGAC
rnacentral:lncRNA from 1 species